GAUGAACGCUGGCGGCGUGCCUAAUACAUGCAAGUCGAGCGAACGGACGAGAAGCUUGCUUCUCUGAUGUUAGCGGCGGACGGGUGAGUAACACGUGGAUAACCUACCUAUAAGACUGGGAUAACUUCGGGAAACCGGAGCUAAUACCGGAUAAUAUUUUGAACCGCAUGGUUCAAAAGUAAAAGACGGUCUUGCUGUCACUUAUAGAUGGAUCCGCGCUGCAUUAGCUAGUUGGUAAGGUGACGGCUUACCAAGGCAACGAUGCAUAGCCGACCUGAGAGGGUGAUCGGCCACACUGGAACUGAGACACGGUCCAGACUCCUACGGGAGGCAGCAGUAGGGAAUCUUCCGCAAUGGGCGAAAGCCUGACGGAGCAACGCCGCGUGAGUGAUGAAGGUCUUCGGAUCGUAAAACUCUGUUAUUAGGGAAGAACAUAUGUGUAAGUAACUGUGCACAUCUUGACGGUACCUAAUCAGAAAGCCACGGCUAACUACGUG
rnacentral:rRNA from 1 species